GACGAACGCUGGCGGCGUGCUUAACACAUGCAAGUCGAACGGAAAGGCCCUGCUUUUGUGGGGUGCUCGAGUGGCGAACGGGUGAGUAACACGUGAGUAACCUGCCCUUUACUUUGGGAUAACUUCAGGCAACUGGGGCUAAUACCGGAUAGGAGCUCCUGCUGCAUGGUGGGGGUUGGAAAGUUUCGGCGGUUGGGGAUGGACUCGCGGCUUAUCAGCUUGUUGGUGGGGUAGUGGCUUACCAAGGCUUUGACGGGUAGCCGGCCUGAGAGGGUGACCGGCGACAUUGGGACUGAGAGACGGCCCAGACUCCUACGGGAGGCAGCAGUGGGGAAUAUUGCACAAUGGGCGGAAGCCUGAUGCAGCAACGCCGCGUGCGGGAUGACGGCCUUCGGGUUGUAAACCGCUUUCGCCUGUGACGAAGCGUGAGUGACGGUAAUGGGUAAAGAAGCACAGGCUAACUACGUG
rnacentral:rRNA from 1 species